GGUUAAGCGACUAAGCGUACACGGUGGAUGCCCUGGCAGUCAGAGGCGAUGAAGGACGUGCUAAUCUGCGAUAAGCGUCGGUAAGGUGAUAUGAACCGUUAUAACCGGCGAUUUCCGAAUGGGGAAACCCAGUGUGAUUCGUCACACUAUCAUUAACUGAAUCCAUAGGUUAAUGAGGCGAACCGGGGGAACUGAAACAUCUAAGUACCCCGAGGAAAAGAAAUCAACCGAGAUUCCCCCAGUAGCGGCGAGCGAACGGGGAGCAGCCCAGAGCCUGAAUCAGUGUGUGUGUUAGUGGAAGCGUCUGGAAAGGCGUGCGAUACAGGGU
rnacentral:rRNA from 1 species